rnacentral:misc_RNA from 1 species
AAUUAUUAUUAUACAAGCUUUACUUACUGAUCUUCACCUUCCAGUCUUAUGUUUUGUUAAGACUUUAUUAUGAGUUCAAAAUGUAAUUAUAUUUAGUAUACUGUUGAGUGUUUUUUGAAUGUGAUAAUUGAGUUUCUUAUCUAAAAUAUUUAAAAGUGAAUCUCAAUAUAGAACUAUCUUUUUGCAAAUAUUUCUGUAAUAGCCGGUCUUGAGCUGUUCUUGAAGAAUGAAGUGCAAGAAUAUUCCGGCUGAGUUCCAUCGUGAAAGAGUUGGCGUUGCAUCUAGUGCAGAUGCUCGAUUCACCCAUAACAAGAUCGAAGAAUCGAACGCUGUCACGUCAUCAACAACAACUCACUUUUCAUGGACUCGUUGAAUGUUGUGAAAACAGGUCUCCUUUCCAAAGACGGGCUCCACCUACAAAGAGCAGGGAUCAUCGCUUUAAUAGGUAAUGUUAUUUCUAGCGUUUGCAGUAGAUUAAGGGAGUGUCCACCUCACCUUCCAUCUCUCUUUAAUUAUGAAUUGGCUUUUCCUCCUUUGUGUCCGAAACAAAUGUCCAGUCUCACGCCCUCCGCUCCACUCCCUCUUGCUACAUCAACAAUUGAUGAUGAUGCUACAUCAUACCGUGAUGCGCUCAUUCUACAUGAAGCAGUUGAGGAACCAAAACCUCAACCGAAAUCCUCUCAUCCUCGAAUCCAACCCAAAGUGACCAAACCCAGACCGCCGGUCACUAUUGAACCUGUAUUUUCAUCUCCUUCUCCUGCCAAAUUAAUCGAUCCUGAUGGUUACCAACUGGUUACUUGCAGAGGAAGACAUCACCGAAUUUCCAUGUCUCGUCAUCGUUCCAGCCAGAUCAAUUCCAUGUAUGAAGGUAUAUAUUCAACUCUGCGAAGCUCUUCUCCUUCCUUAUCGCAUGAGAGCAGUAAUGAAUCUGCAAGAGAUCAAAUUCCUGAUAAAUCACUUGUUCAUGAUUCAUCAGAUGCCAGCUGCGCUCAGCCCCUCAAUCAUUCUCGCUCCUCCAAGCAGAGAAGACGUAGAAGAAGGGGAGCUGGGUCCAAGUGGAAUUUGACUGACAAUAAGAAAGUGAUGAAGAAGGAAUCUGACAAGAAGCAGAGAAAAUUGAAUGCUGUUUAUGAGAAAAGAAGGGGAAUAACUUUGAAGAAUGAUAAUACUGAAUACGACUGGAA